rnacentral:rRNA from 1 species
AUCUUCCGCAAUGGGCGCAAGCCUGACGGAGCAACGCCGCUUGAGUGACGAAGGCUUUCGGAUUUAAAAACUCUGUCCAGAGGGAAGAAACAAAUGACAGUACCUUUGGAGGAAGCCUCGGCUAACUACGUUCCAGCAGCCGCGGUAAAACGUAGGCGGCGAUCGUUGUCCGGAAUUACUGGGCGUAAAGGGCGUGUCGGCGGCCAAGCAAGUUAGAAGUCAAACCUAUCGGCUUAACCGAUAGCCUGCUUCUAAAACGGCGUGGCUGGAGUACAGUAGAGGGGAGUGGAAUUCCCAGUGUAGCGGUGAAAUGCGUAGAUAUUGGGAGGAACACCAGUGGCGAAAGCGGCUCCCUGGCCUGUAACUGACGCUGAGGCGCGAAAGCGUGGGUAGCAAAC